GUAAUAAGCAACCUUUACGAUCUUCAGCUCUUACUUUAGACAACCGCAAUUCUCUGAUCUCAGCUUGUACUUCAGCAAGCUCCCGUUCUUUAUCUCUGACUUCAUUUUCAAGCCGAUUCAGCUCAAUCUUAACCAGAUCCGACCCAUCAAGGACAUUCAACAACUCAUCCGCAUCCAGACUCUUCCCUUCUUUAAACGAUUCCGACGCCACAAGCGCCGCCGGAGUCGGCAAUAAUGUAUAUUUAGGUGGCAUUGUUUCAGGAUUCACUACAACAAUUUAUGGGUUUAGCGGCAUUUGUCUAGCGGCAUAUAUAGUAAAUGCCACUACAUUACACUUUUAGGCGGCAUAUCUAGUGGCAUUUUUUUUAUAUGCCACUAAAAGCCCAAAUUUUUUUAUGCGGUGCAAUAGCAUAUUGGGCGCGCUUAUUUGGGCAAAAUGAAACUGAAUCGCACUUCAGGUUUUUCCAACCCCCAAAAACCCUCAUCUUCAUACUCUCACCUAACUCAAAACUUAGGUCUCAAACCCUCAUCUCCUUUAAACAUUUUCUCUCUUAUCUACAAUUCUAUCUGCUCAAAAUUAAAGAUUCAAUCCUUGGCAUAAUAGUGUUGAAAUUCUUAUUGUCGUUACAAAUUUUUGGAUUAUCUCUCACAAUUGAACAAUUGAGGCGCAGCUUUGAGGCGGUUGCUGCAAUGGUGAUGGCGGCAGCAAGGGUUUAAUUGGUCGGCUGUUAGUAGAUCUUCUUUGAUCUUGAUGGUGAAAGCCGUGCAGACCACUAAAAGAUAAAUAACCCCAUUUAUUGAUCUUUGAGGAUUUGGGAAGGAGACGAUUGUAGAUUAUUUCCCGAAAAAAAAAAAGACAGAGCACUUGAUAAAUAUCAAGAAAAUUCGAAUGAGUCGUGAGCUACAAGUUAUGGCGCAUACUGGUGGAUCAAAAAGCUUUGCUUGUUAUGUUAAUGAGAAGAUUAUUUUAAUCGAGUAGGGCGAAUUCGUCUAUAUUAUUCGUGAGGUUUGAUGCUGGUUUUUGCUGGUUUUUGCUGAUUUCGGAAGCUUGUGAAGUGUACAACAUAGCCUUUGAAAUGAGUUUUUUUGUGUACUUUAUAAGUAGUACGAAGUGUGUAUUAGAAGUUCGACAACAUGCAAAAUGUAAUGAGAAUUUUGUGUACUUUGGAUAAUGUAACUACAACUAUGCAUAUAUAUACAUUAAUUAUUUUGCAACUAUUA